rnacentral:rRNA from 1 species
AACGAACGCUGGCGGCAGGCCUAACACAUGCAAGUCGAGCGGGAAGCUACCUUCGGGUAGUGGACAGCGGCGGACGGGUUAGUAACGCGUGGGAACGUGCCCAAAGGUACGGAAUAGCUUCGGGAAACUGGAGGUAAUACCGUAUGUGCCCUUCGGGGGAAAGAUUUAUCGCCUUUGGAUCGGCCCGCGUAAGAUUAGGUAGUUGGUGGGGUAAUGGCCUACCAAGCCUACGAUCUUUAUCUGGUUUGAGAGGAUGAUCAGAAACACUGGGACUGAGACACGGCCCAGACUCCUACGGGAGGCAGCAGUGGGGAAUCUUGGACAAUGGGCGCAAGCCUGAUCCAGCCAUGCCGCGUGAGUGAAGAAGGCCUUAGGGUUGUAAAGCUCUUUCAGGGGUGAGGAUUAUGACAGUAACCCCAGAAGAAGCACCGGCUAACUUCGUGCCAGCCGCCGCCGUAACAC